UACGAAGGGGGCUAGCGUUGCUCGGAAUCACUGGGCUUAAAGGGUCCGUAGGCGGCGAAGAAAGUUGGGUGUGAAAUACCUCAGCUCAACUGAGGAAUUGCGCUCAAAACUACUUUGCUCGAGAAAGACAGAGGUGAGCGGAACUGAUGGUGGAGCGGUGAAAUGCAUUGAUAUCAUCAGGAACACCGGUGGCGAAAGCGGCUCACUGGGUCUUUUCUGACGCUGAUGGACGAAAGCUAGGGGAGCGAACGGG
rnacentral:rRNA from 1 species